GGGAGCGGAGGGGUUGUCGCCUCUGUCGGAGAGUCCCCCUGUGCGUGUCUCUAGACUUGACAUUUUACACCCCACUGCGGCCGACUGAGCCGGGUAGCACGUCCCAGCCCUGAAGUUAUGUAGGUGGGGCGGGCUUUAAUUUGCUUAUAUCUAAUGAUUUCAGGAACCUCGCUUUAAAAUGGCGACAUUCAGUAUACACCCCUGCUAAAGGCUCUCCCGGCGCAGGGGCCACCUCGCGCAGCGGUUCUUCUGCUUCUGCCGCUAACAGAUGGCAUGUGCCACUGUCCGCUGCCGCUGCCCCUACUGCUGCCGCCGAGAGCAGGGCCCCUUAGCUUCUGGGUUUGCGCUAGCAUCAUAAGGUGUGAUACAUCUCUCACCUCAAAAAUGGAACCUGAGCUUCAGGGACCAUCUCAUGGACCAUGGCCUGCCUCUUCCAACAGGGAAGACAUUUAUUUCCUCAGAGUCAAUACAACAUUACUCUUUCAUUCCCCUUGAUAUAACCAGAUGCUGGUUUAGCUGUUUGGUGCACAAUGCUCCAAUAGGAUGGAGAAACAGAAGAGGCCUGAGAGCUGAAGAGCGGAGAGUUGGGAAUGUAAACUGUCCUAAAGUGCUAGUGGAAGCUGUGUAGAACAAUCUUGAGCACAGUUAGAUUAAACUUGUCUAUAAUGCAGAGAAAAUACCAGGGGAAGAUGUUGGCAGUCAACCCUUCACCCGUAGGAAGGGCCAAGGCAACACAAGGAGAGCAACAGAGGAAGGAAGCUUUUUGUGUCUCAGAAACAGAGAGGGAAAAGAAAGUUUCUGAGGGCAAUCAGCAAAUACUACAGAAACUAUGUAAGGAGUGGUCACUGGUUCUGGAAUUAAAGUUAUCAGUGACCUUUGAGGAAUCUCUAAGCCAUUGUACUGUGGGUGUCCAAGUAAGUGAAACGUUGGGAAAUGAAAGUGGUAAUAAUGACUUUGUACAAUAUUUGAUGAUGAAGGAUAAAUAAUAUUGGAACUUCACAAAGAAAUUGGAUCAAAGAAAGAGAGGCUUUUGCUGUUUUUGAAGUGGGAGUGACUUAGAUGUACUUUACUGGCUGAUGUGAAGGAGGCAGAAGUGUGUAUAAAAUGUCCAUGAAGCACAAAAUAUGUAAUGAGUACUCCCUACUUGCCAAUAUAUCUGUUAAUAUGCACAGUAUUACCUGUGCAUUCUGAUUAAGUAAUAAAACUCUAUUGAACUUGACUUUUGGUCUUUGUGCCUUUAAGGUGUAGGAUUAAACUUUUCAUUAAAAAACUGGAUAAAUUGUGCUCCCCCCCCCCGACAAAAAAGAUAGUGGAAUUCAGCCAAAAUAACAGGUAAGAUUGUUUUUUAAUAGUUUAUGAAACAAGAUGGUGCUACUGAGUUAAGGGAAAUGUGACUGACAGCUUUUUAUAGCUCAGGCUCAAUGAAAAUGAGAGAGUGGAGAAGGCUGUAUAAAAAUGAGGAUUAGGAUAUGAGUACCAACGAUACGCUUUUAUACUGUGAUUUGCCUUGAGACAAGGAUUCAGUGUCUGUUAUUCAUGAAAAUGGAAAUUUAACAUUUGCCAUACUUCCUUGUGUUGGAUCUGUCAAUUUUAGUUUUUUGUGGAUUUCACAGUUCAAUGUGUAAUUAAAAAAAACUUCAGGUCCAUAUUUAAUUCCCCUCAUUUUAAUC
ensembl:lncRNA